rnacentral:rRNA from 1 species
UAUCGAAACAGAAAGUCCAGGAGGGAAGGGGGGCUCUCUUCGACCCUCCGAGGCUUUGACCUUCUCAACACCUGUGUGCACCCACUGUAGGUCCUUCGGGACCUACGUCUCCUUCCAACUCGCAUGUCUACAGAACGUAUUCGUCGUGUCCCGGCCUCGACCCCCCCAGGGGGUCCCGCGUCGGCGACCGCAAAAAAAAACCUAUUACAACUUUCAGCAACGGAUCUCUUGGCUCUCGCAUCGAUGAAGAACGCAGCGAAUCGCGAUAAGUAAUGUGAAUUGCAGAUUUUCCGUGAAUCAUCGAAUCUUUGAACGCACCUUGCGCUCCUUGGUAUUCCGAGGAGCAUGCCUGUUUGAGUGUCAUCGAAACCUCGGAUCGACGCUUCGACCCCGUCGGAGCUCGGUUUGGACUAUGGGAGUCUGCGGGCGAAGCGUGACUUCGUCGGCUCUCCUCAAAAGCAUUAGCCGUGGGUGGCGAGCCUGGCAUGGCACGGCCUCUUCGACGUCGUAAUGAUCGUCGUGGGCUGGAAGUGUAUGGCUCGAUGGACCCCCCAUGCUUCCCGAGUCUUGCGAGCCCGUCUCUCGUGGACGGCCGCGCCCCCAUCGAAGCUGACCUCAACUCA